rnacentral:rRNA from 1 species
AGAGUUUGAUCCUGGCUCAGGACGAACGCUGGCGGCGUGCUUAACACAUGCAAGUCGAACGGAAAGGCCCUUCGGGGUACUCGAGUGGCGAACGGGUGAGUAACACGUGGGUGAUCUGCCCUGCACUUUGGGAUAAGCCUGGGAAACUGGGUCUAAUACCGAAUAUGACCAUGCACUUCCUGGUGUGUGGUGGAAAGCUUUUGCGGUGUGGGAUGGGCCUGCGGCCUAUCAGCUUGUUGGUGGGGUAAUGGCCUACCAAGGCGACGACGGGUAGCCGGCCUGAGAGGGUGACCGGCCACACUGGGACUGAGAUACGGCCCAGACUCCUACGGGAGGCAGCAGUGGGGAAUAUUGCACAAUGGGCGCAAGCCUGAUGCAGCGACGCCGCGUGAGGGAUGACGGCCUUCGGGUUGUAAACCUCUUUCAGCACAGACGAAGCGCAAGUGACGGUAUGUGCAGAAGAAGGACCGGCCAACUACGUGCCAGCAGCCGCGGUAAUACGUAGGGUCCGAGCGUUGUCCGGAAUUACUGGGCGUAAAGAGCUCGUAGGUGGUUUGUCGCGUUGUUCGUAAAAACUCACAGCUUAACUGUGGGCGUGCGGGCGAUACGGGCAGACUUGAGUACUGCAGGGGAGACUGGAAUUCCUGGUGUAGCGGUGGAAUGCGCAGAUAUCAGGAGGAACACCGGUGGCGAAGGCGGGUCUCUGGGCAGUAACUGACGCUGAGGAGCGAAAGCGUGGGGAGCGAACAGGAUUAGAUACCCUGGUAGUCC